CCUACGGGAGGCAGCAGUGAGGAAUAUUGGUCAAUGGUCGGGAGACUGAACCAGCCAAGCCGCGUGAGGGAUGAAGGUACAGAGUAUCGUAAACCUCUUUUGUCAGGGAACAAAGGCGGGGACGUGUCCCCGGAUGAGUGUACCUGACGAAAAAGCAUCGGCUAACUCCGUGCCAGCAGCCGCGGUAAUACGGAGGAUGCGAGCGUUAUCCGGAUUUAUUGGGUUUAAAGGGUGCGCAGGCGGUCUGUUAAGUCAGCGGUCAAAGCCCGGGGCUCAACCCCGGCCCGCCGUUGAAACUGGCAGUCGCGAGUUGGAGAGAAGUAGGCGGAAUGCGCGGUGUAGCGGUGAAAUGCAUAGAUAUCGCGCAGAACUCCGAUUGCGAAGGCAGCAUGCCGGAUCCACACUGACGCUGAGGCACGAAAGCGUGGGUAUCGAACAGGAUUAGAUACCCCUGUAGUC
rnacentral:rRNA from 1 species